AACGAACGCUGGCGGCAUGCCUAACACAUGCAAGUCGAACGAGACCUUCGGGUCUAGUGGCGCACGGGUGCGUAACGCGUGGGAACCUGCCCUUAGGUUCGGAAUAACUCCCCGAAAGGGGUGCUAAUACCGGAUAAUGUCUUCGGACCAAAGAUUUAUCGCCUUUGGAUGGGCCCGCGUUGGAUUAGCUAGUUGGUAGGGUAAAAGCCUACCAAGGCGACGAUCCAUAGCUGGUCUGAGAGGAUGAUCAGCCACACUGGGACUGAGACACGGCCCAGACUCCUACGGGAGGCAGCAGUGGGGAAUAUUGGACAAUGGGCGAAAGCCUGAUCCAGCAAUGCCGCGUGAGUGAUGAAGGCCUUAGGGUUGUAAAGCUCUUUUACCCGGGAUAAUAAUGACAGUACCGGGAGAAUAAGCGCCGGCUAACUCCGUG
rnacentral:rRNA from 1 species